GUUAAAGAUAAUUCUUGUGCUAACCGUUCAUGAAUAGUGAACAUGACUGUGUGGAUUUGGAUGGUGUCAGUGCUGAGACGAUGGCUCCUUGAUGAAAGUGAAACCAGAAUGGCCAGAGAAGGGAGGCAUGGGGGCUCAAUCCAGACAGAAAGUACAUGAGUAGGUAAAUGUGUAAGCUAGGAAAAUAGAAGCAGAAUCAUUGGAGUCAGCUCUUUAACAAGCUUCUUUUCUGGCAAUUAAGAUGAAAAAGGAAAUUUACACUCUCCUUACUUGAUACCAAGAUGAAAAAAAAUUAAAAAGGUAGGCCAUUGGGUGUAACUAGAGCACUUACAGGCUCAUGGCAGGAGGAGGAUUACAUGUGUGUAUACAUGCCAGGGUGUAUAUGGAGUUCAGAAGACAAUGUUCAGAAGUUGGUUCUCUUUCUGUCAUCUGGGUUCCAAGGAUACAACUCAGAUCACUGGACUUAGGAAAUAAAUGCCUUUAACACUGAGUCAUCUCCCCGCCCCCCAGUAAGAGGGAAAAAAAUUGGCUCUUUGAGAAACUCACACUUAAGUGCUUUCAUGUUAUUCUUUUCUUGCUUUCCUCCUUAAAUUUCAUAUUUAAAUCUAACUUAAUGAGCCCCAAUUUUGUUUCAAAAAAGAAAGGAAAUAUGAGUAGAGAAGAUGCUACACAAAAUGAUAAAAAGAAAAGUAUUUUUUCCAUCAACCUGGUGUCAUGUUUCACAGUGAUAUUUUUUUGGAUCUGCCAGAGGUGUCUAAAAAGUAUAAAACUUGAAAUAUUACCUAGUUGGAAAUUCCUGGGUGUUUUUUUUUUUUUUCCGCCAAGAUGAGGUUUCUCCUUAUGGCCCUAGCUGUUCUGGACCUCACUCUGCAGACUGGAUAGCCUCAAAUGCAGAGAUCCUCCUGUCUCAGCCUCCGGAGCACUGGAAACAAAGGUGUGAGCCACCAUGCCCUGUUCUUCCAUUUUUUUUGUUGUUGUUUUUCGAGACAGGGUUUCUCUGUGUGUUCUGGCUAUUCUGAACUCGUAGACACAGAAAUCUACCUGCCUCUGCUUCCCAAGUGCUGGGAUUAAAGGUGGGCAUAGUAGCACACGCCUUUAGUCCCAGUGCUUGGGAGGUUGAGGCAGGUGUGUCUUAGUGAGUUCAAGGUCAGCCUUGCUUGGUCUUUGCAACCGGCCACUCUUGCAACAGCACUCCUUUUUUGUGGUGUUUUAUAUUCUCAGACUUUUCCUAAUAGGCCCUGGUUUAUCUUAUCAAAUCUUGAUUCCACUUUUUUCAUGUCUAAACUACAAAAAAAUGUUUGUAUAGUCAGCUCCAUUACAUUUCAGAUAAAAAGUUGGCAUUUUGGGCCCUGCGGUGGUGGUGCACGCCUUUAAUCCCAGCACUUGGGAGGCAGAGGCAGGCGGAUCUUUGUGAGUUCGAGACCAGCCUGGUCUACAAGAGCUAGUGCCAGGACAGGUUCCAAAACCACAGAGAAACCCUGUCUCGAAAACCAAAAAAAAAAAAAAGUUGUCAUUUUAACAUGCCACCAAUCUUGUAAAGUAGGUUGUAUUCUUGUUACUUAGUGAGGAAACAAAAUCAAAGCUAUGAGUGGUGGCUGGAGAUGUAUGAACCAAAAGCCUUGGAGGAAAGAGAUUUCAUUCUAGGUGUUGAAGGAGAACAACAAUGAGAGAAGGCAGGCAAGGAAAGGUGUGUUUAUUAAAUGCCUUUUAUCAGGCACCAAAAGCAAGCUGUGAGAAAACCUGUUUGGGAGAAAGUGGGAAGUACUCUACAACACAUGGGCACAGGAGACCGCUUCCUACGUAUAACCCCAGCAGCACAGACAUUAAGGGCCUCAUUGAAUAAAUGGGACCUCCUGAGACUGAGAAGCUUCUGUAAAGCAAAGGACACUGUCACUAAGACACAAAGGCAACCCACUGACUGGGAGAAGAUCUUCACCAGCCCUGCAACUGACAAAGGUCUGAUCUCCAAAAUAUAUAAAGAACUCAAGAAACUAGACCGUAAAAGGCUAAUCAACCCAAUUAUAAAAUGGGGCACUGAGCUGAACAGAGAAUUCUCAACAGAAGUUCAAAUGGCCAAAAGACACUUAAGGUCAUGCUCAACUUCCUUGCGAUCAGGGAAAUGCAAAUCAAGACAACUUUAAGAUACCAUCUUACACCUGUCAGAAUGGCUAAAAUCAAAAACACCAAUGAUAGCCUUUGCUGGAGAGGUUGUGGAGAAAGGGGUACACUCAUCCAUUGCUGGUGGGAAUGCAAACUUGUGCAACCACUUUGGAAAGCAGUGUGGUAGUUUCUCAGGAAAUUCGAGAUCAACCUACCCCUGGACCCAGCAAUACCACUCUUGGGAAUAUCCCCAAGAGAGGCCUUAUCAUACAACAAAAGUAUAUGCUCUACUAUAUUCAUAGCAGCAUUGUUUGUAAUAGCCAGAAACUGGAAACAACCUAGAUGCCCUUCAAUGGAAGAAUGGAUGAAGAAAGUAUGGAAUAUAUACAUAUUAGAGUACUACUCAGUAAAAAACAAGGACUUCUUGAAUUUUGCAUACAAAUGGAUGGAAAUAGAAAACUAUCCUGAGUGAGGUAAGCCAGACCCAAAAAGAGGAACAUGGGAUGUACUCACUCAUAUUUGGUUUCUAACCAUAAACAAAGGACAUUGAGCCUAUAAUUAGUGAUCCUAGAGAAGCUAAAUAAGGAGAACCCAAAGAAAAACAUAUAGGCAUCCUCCUGAAUAUUAACCUUCAUCAGGCGAUGAAAGGAGACAGAGACAGAGACCCACAUUGGAACACCAGACAGAAAUCUCAAGGUCCAAAUCAGGAGCAGAAGGAGAGAGAGCACGAGCAAGGAACUCAGGACCGCGAGGGGUGCACCCACACACUGAGAGAAUGGGGAUGUUCUAUUGGGAACUCAUCAAGGCCAGCUGGCCUGGGUCUGAAAAAGCAUGGGAUAAAACCGGUCUCACUGAACAUAGUGGACAAUGAGGACUACUGAGAACUCAAGAACAAUGGCAAUAGGUUUUUGAUCCUACUGCACGUACUGGCUUUGUGGGAGCCUAGGCAGUUUGGAUGCUCACCUUACUAGACCUGGAUGGAGGUGGGUGGUCCUUGGACUUCCCACAGGGCAGGGAACCCUGAUAGCUCUUUGGGCUGAUGGGGGAGGGGGAGGGAAAUGGGAGACGGUGGCGGGGAAGAGACAGAAAUCUUAAACAAAUAAACGGAAAAAAAAAGAGCCUGUUUGGUUAAUACACAUUGGGUAGAGGAGACUUAUUUUGAGUGCUAGACCUGGAGUGUUCCCAGCUCUUUCUUCUAACUUCCUUGAUUAGGUCUUAGUAACUAGAGGUUGUUUUCAACUACUUUACUUAUCAUCAAACUGGAAGUGAUCAUUGCUAAGGGAACUGAACUACCAGGAAAUGGACCAGGACGGACUGACUAAUACCUUCCUGACUUUCAGGUCAUACUAUGUGCAGAAAGAGAACGUUGAAUGUAGAUGAGUAGCUCAGUCUCUGCUCACUUAACAGACAUUGCUGGCUAGACUUGGUUUCUUUAAGACUGCAUCCUGGGCUGCUUAGCUCUGCUCUGGUAGUUCAGGGUCAUCUGCAUUUGGCCAUAAUGUUUUGGUGGAAAUACAGGACAGUUUUAGCUUGGUUUUCAACAGGGCAUUCUUGUCACUGUACUCCUUUCAGUUACUUUCUUAUGUUCUCAGCCUUUUCCAAAUAGGCCUUGGUUUACCUUGUCAAAUCAGGUUCCAUACUAACCUUGCCUUCAAAGGCAACUCUAGUAAUGAAUCUCUUACAGGUGUGUCCAACCUGAAGUCCAUGGGCCAUAGAGUAUAUCUAUGAACAUGACCUAACACAUUUGUACAUGACAGUGGCCAAAGAUUGGACAUGUCCCCUGGGUCUGGUGCAUUAGUAAUCUUAGACUAGCAUUAGAUAAUUUGCUUCCUGAACAUAGUUUGCCUUGACACUUUUGUACAGUAUCACCUUUUGUAGUUCAGAGAAAUCAAUAGUGUAUUUGACAUUCAAAGUGAAUCAGCUCACAUUCUCCUGUACAGAAUAAUUUUCAGUAUUAUAAGAGUAAAAGAAAAUCAUAAUAGCCAGUGCAGAAGGUUGUAUGUGCUGUGUGCAUACCCGUAACCAACACUGACACUCACCGUAAGGAGAUGGGGCUGAGGAACAUGAGAACAGGCCAGCCUGGACCACAUAAGAUGCUAACUAACAUCAAAACCAAAAUGGGGCUGGAAAGAUGGUAGUUCAGUGGCUAAGAGUACUUACUGCUUUUGCAGAGGGCCCAAGUUUGCUGACACUGCAGAAGUGUGGGCAUAUGGUGAUGACUAAAUUGAUGGUGCAGCCCUGCCAUACACUUCCACUUGUUGUGUCUCACCCUCUUCUUAAGUGUUUGAUCUCCUUUGCAAGGAGAAUUAGAGGGUGGCUCUGGGACCCUUCUAUUUUCAGUGGGUGUGUUCAAUGUGUGUAUGGCUAUAAAUGAAGUCUGUAUGCCAGUAAAUGACACCAUUCUUCAACUAGAUUCCUUUGUAUUCCCUGUACUUGCUUUCUAAUAGCCUGCAUAGGCAUGGCAAAGCACAGAGAAGCUAGAUUUUGUUGUUAUUGUUCAUCAUUUCUUCCACACUUGGCUUUCUGAGCAAGUGACACCACCAUCUUCCAAGAAAAGUGAUCUGGUUUGUUACCAACCUAUGGUUUAGUCUUUCAAAAGAAAUCUUUAGGGAGCUUGAGAGAUGGCUCAGAGGUUAAGAGCACUGACUGCUCUUCCAGAGAUCCUGAGUUCAAUUUCCAACAACCACAUGGUGGCUCACAGCUAUCUAUAAUGAGAUCUGGUGCUCUCUUCUGGCAUGCAAGCAUACAUGGAAGGAAUGUUGUAUCCAUAAUAAAUAAAUCUUUUUAAAAAAAAAAAGAAAUCUUUACCAUGUUUUAAGGACCUCCUAGAAAUGUAUUCAUUUGGUACUAAAUCACAUUUCUCAAAAAUUAGUGAUUUUCCUACUCAGAAAAGAAAUAUCUUAAUCCCCUUUUCUCUAAGGAAAAUGUCAUCUGUAUGUCAAGUUUAUGAAGGGCCAGGUAGUAACACUGGGUUUUGUGAGUUUGUGUUUUUUAUUUAUUGAAGCCAAUCAGAUCCCCAUGAUUUUGCAUCAGGAAAGCAGCCAUCGAUGGCCUGUAAAGAAGUGGAAAGGAUUGUAUAAACAAACAACUUUGUUUAUAAAGUAGGGGUACUUUUUGAUUUAUGUGUAGGUGUGUGCGUAUGUCAGCUGAGGAUGAGGAGGGCAUCUGAUCUCCAGGAACUGGAGUUAACAGAAAGAAAAAGGAGGGCAGUGAGAGCCAUUGAUCUUCCGGGUAAACUGCACAAAGCCUGAUGACCUGAGUGCUGGAUUAAAGGUG